AAUUUUGACGGGCUUAUAAAAAUCAAGUUGAUAUCGUUAAAUUGAUUAUUGACAGUACAUUUAUAUUGCCUGAUAUUAACAGUUGUACCGAUUUAGACAAAAUUCAAAAAAUGUCUACCGAUAUGUGCCUAUAUGUUGCAUACCGAGAGAACUUGCAUUCUGCAGAAACUGUGAAUCCGUCCGAUGAACUUCUUUUAUAGCUCACUAUGCGGUAUGGGCUUCGCUCAUUGUUGAAGGCCGUACGGUGACCUAUAGUUG
rnacentral:lncRNA from 1 species